rnacentral:rRNA from 1 species
GAUGAACGCUAGCUACAGGCUUAACACAUGCAAGUCGAGGGGAAACGGCAUUAAGUGCUUGCACUUUUUGGACGUCGACCGGCGCACGGGUGAGUAACGCGUAUCCAACCUUCCCAUGACUAAGGGAUAACCUGCCGAAAGGCAGACUAAUACCUUAUGGUCUUCACUGACGGCAUCAGAUGUGAAGUAAAGAUUUAUCGGUUAUGGAUGGGGAUGCGUCUGAUUAGUUAGUUGGCGGGGUAACGGCCCACCAAGGCAACGAUCAGUAGGGGUUCUGAGAGGAAGGUCCCCCACAUUGGAACUGAGACACGGUCCAAACUCCUACGGGAGGCAGCAGUGAGGAAUAUUGGUCAAUGGGCGAGAGCCUGAACCAGCCAAGUAGCGUGCAGGAUGACGGCCCUAUGGGUUGUAAACUGCUUUUGUAUGGGGAUAAAGUCAGUCACGUGUGAUUGUUUGCAGGUACCAUACGAAUAAGGACCGGCUAAUUCCGUGCCAGCAGCCGCGGUAAUACGGAAGGUCCGGGCGUUAUCCGGAUUUAUUGGGUUUAAAGGGAGCGUAGGCUGGAGAUUAAGUGUGUUGUGAAAUGUAGACGCUCAACGUCUGACUUGCAGCGCAUACUGGUUUCCUUGAGUACGCACAACGUUGGCGGAAUUCGUCGUGUAGCGGUGAAAUGCUUAGAUAUGACGAAGAACUCCGAUUGCGAAGGCAGCUGACGGGAGCGCAACUGACGCUGAAGCUCGAAGGUGCGGGUAUCGAACAGG